rnacentral:lncRNA from 1 species
UUUAUCUCAUAUAUAUGUGUGAUAUAGGCAAAUUCUGAGGGCUUCAUAUCAGAGCCUUUGCUUCUUGCAGUGACUCCUCUCACCACCUUCCAUCCAUUGUGCGUGUCUCUGAUGCCUUCAGUACCAUCUCCAUGAUCUUCUCCUUUCCAGAAAGAUGGUGGGACUGGAAACUUCAGUAACCCAAACUUUAAUGGAGGUAACAGGCACUUAACAUCAGUGACUUAGGCCUGGAAUAUGAUGGUAAUCUGGAAAACAGAGUGCUAAACGAUUGUGUGAGACCACCCAGAGAAAUGCUCCAUGGACAUAAAGAAGACGGAGAGCUCAGGUCAGGCCUGGCAAGUACACAAGAGAUGGUCUGUGCUGGGGCAGCCCCUCGUCCACCCUUUUCCUUAUGUGUCCUGCAGGCAGCCCCCACCGAACUCUCUCAGGACUGUGCUGGGGCCACUGCUCCAGGUUGACCAUGAGUGGACAGAAGGACCUUCAAAACUUUGCUCCCAUUGCUCUGGUCGUAGCUUCAAAAGUCUCUCGGCUCACCUGGCCUUCCAAAUGUAACAAGGCAAGAGGGAGGUGACUUGAAUCAUGGACGAAGGUAUUUUGGUC